AUGAACACUGUGGGCAGAGGCUGCUUUGGUGACAGGCUCCCUCCCUGGCAGAGAGCGACUUAGAAAUGUCACAGGUGCUUUUCAUUGUUGGUUCACCUGUCUGCCCCCACCCCUCCCUGCUGACAAAGCUGCUGGCUCCUCCUCCCCACUGCCUUCUCAGCGCCUGUCUCUGUUAAGGCCUGAGGCUGUUGGGUGAGAAGCCAUGACUUGAUUGGGUGUGUAGACGGGAGGUCAGGGGAAAAUCUGGGUAUCUAAAUUGGAUGUGACCUUGAGCUAUCAGCUGUGGACUUUCAGUGUCUAUCUGCUCAGGUUGUAAUUGCCUUGUUCAGGUCCCAGGAGUUUACCAAUGCCUAUUCCCAGAAGAUGGAAUACCAAGGAGGGGCCACCUUGGCGCCACUUGCCAAUGUCACCAUGGCCUUCCAUAAAUAAAUCUCACUCUCAUCAUGACUGAGAUUUUUGCUGAUCCACAUGUCCUGGAAGGAGGGGACAGCGUGAACCAUCUUGCCCUGAAUCUGCAUCUUUAGGAGAGCUGGAUGGGUUUCAUUCAUUUCACCCAGAAGUCAUUGCAGCUGAUCUAGUCACAAGUUCAUGAUUGCAAAAUC